rnacentral:tRNA from 1 species
CUGGGUGUAGCUCAGCAGGGUCAGAGUGCCGCGCUUGGAACGCGGAGGCCGCAAGUUCGAAUCUUGCCACCCAGACCA